CCUACGGGAGGCUGCAGUGAGGAAUAUUGGUCAAUGGGAGAGAUCCUGAACCAGCCAAGCCGCGUGAGGGAAGACGGCCCUAUGGGUUGUAAACCUCUUUUGUCGGAGAACAAAACCCGGGACGUGUCCCGGACUGCGUGUAUCCGAAGAAAAAGCAUCGGCUAACUCCGUGCCAGCAGCCGCGGUAAUACGGAGGAUGCGAGCGUUAUCCGGAUUUAUUGGGUUUAAAGGGUGCGUAGGCGGUCCGUUAAGUCCGCGGGAAAAUUGCGGGGCUCAACCCCGGCGAGCCGUUGAAACUGGCAGACUUGAGUUGGCGAGAAGUACGCGGAAUGCGCGGUGUAGCGGUGAAAUGCAUAGAUAUCGCGCAGAACUCCGAUUGCGAAGGCAGCGUACCGGCGCCAGACUGACGCUGAGGCACGAAAGCGUGGGGAUCGAACAGGAUUAGAUACCCCUGUAGUC
rnacentral:rRNA from 1 species